UAAGGAAUAUUGGUCAAUGGACGCAAGUCUGAACCAGCCAUGCCGCGUGGAGGAUGAAGGUCCUCUGGAUUGUAAACUUCUUUUAUAUGGGACGAAAAAGGGUCUUUCUAGAUCAACUGACGGUACCAUGUGAAUAAGCACCGGCUAACUCCGUGCCAGCAGCCGCGGUAAUACGGAGGGUGCAAGCGUUAUCCGGAUUCACUGGGUUUAAAGGGUGCGUAGGUGGGUUGGUAAGUCAGUGGUGAAAUCUCCGGGCUUAACUCGGAAACUGCCAUUGAUACUAUCAAUCUUGAAUAUUGUGGAGGUCAGCGGAAUAUGUCAUGUAGCGGUGAAAUGCUUAGAGAUGACAUAGAACACCAAUUGCGAAGGCAGCUGGCUACGCAUAUAUUGACACUGAGGCACGAAAGCGUGGGGAUCAAACAGGAUUAGAUACCCCCGUAGUCC
rnacentral:rRNA from 1 species